CGCGCGGGUGCUCCGGGGCUGCUGCGUGGCCGCCUCCACUCCCCCGGGCCCCUGGCGUCCUCCCUUCUCCAGGCCGGAGCGCAGGGCCGAAGGCCACCGCCCGGGGACCGGCCCCAGGCACAUGGGACCGCGGCGGGCGCCCUGCCAAUCCCCAGGAGGCCCGGCCCCUGGCCCUGAACCUGCACCCGGUGGCCACCCCGCCGCGCAGGCGCUGGCUCGUGAGUCACCUGGCGGGGGCCACGUGUGUGCGGCGUGGGCCCUGCGUCCACAGGUCUGCAACCCCUGCCCCCACCGAGGGCUCAGCCCCGGCCCAGCUGCAAGAGAACAGAAAACCGGCUUCGGGAGCCGGGCGCGGUGGCUCACGCCUGUAAUCCCAGUUACUCAGGAAGCUGAGGCAGUAGAAUCGCUUGAAUCCGGGAGGCAGAGGUUGCAGUGAGCUGAGAUCGCGCCACUGCACUCCAGCCUGGGCGACAGAGCGAGACUCCAUCUCAAAAAAAAAAAAAAAAAAAAGAAAAAGAAAAGAAAAAAAGAACCUGCUUGGGGCCAGACUGAAUGAAAACUGGGAAAAAAGGCGGUUAGGAAGGACUUGCCUCUCCCUUCCCACACACAGAUGCCCGGAAGCUCCUGCUCAGUUCUGGUCUGGCUCUGACCAGACGCCCCAGGCAACCACCCUGGAAGUGGGGCCCCGGGGUGGAUUCUGGGGCUCUUGUUCCCAGGAGAUGCCUGCCUGCAUCUGGGCCCCUGCUUGGAUUCCACUUCCCUGCGAAGAACAAGGAGGCGCUGGUGUGUUCCUGGCCCAGGUGCACCUGCUGGGCAAAAUGAAAUUUAAGUCCCCAAGGCUGCUUUAGGGCUGGGCCACAGGGAUGAAGACCUGCAGCUCCAGCUUGGUCACUGCUGUCCGGCCUCCCCCACCCUCCAGGGCGAAGGGUGAGGAGCACCGGAAAAACAACUCGUGGUCCCUGGAACCCCUCAAGCACCAGAAUGUGUCCAGCCCUGCCUCUGCGCAUCCAGCGAUGCCCUGGCUGUGUCGGAAGCGCAAGACGCACACUUAGGAUUUUCAGCUUGGCUGUGGGUUUAUUGGGCCGUAACCCCAACGUAGGCAGGUAGCCAACUGGAGGAGACUGUUUUCUAGACCCUUAGGUGGCCUCUGACCCCAGAAGUCAUCAGCGGAAGAUUUGGGCUGGGGAGUGAGCAGCUAACCAGAGGCGGUACCCCUGCCCGGAAGUGUGUCCUGGACCUUGGUUUGGUUGGGUCCCUCAGGUGUUGCCCACACAGACCGUAACUACCUGGCAAUCGAGAAGGGUGCCAGAUGGACACUGGGGGUGAAAACACAGCCACGCCUGGUGGGGAAGCGGGUGGAGGUGCUCAGGAGGCAACCAGGAGAGUGCAGUGCAGCACUGCCCGCACCAAGCCUGGGCUGGGGCUCAACAGGAAGCGUGGAGAUGGCGCAAAUGCACCGCAGGGACUCAGAGGGAUCACGCUGGGCUUAAAAGGCCCAGAGCAAACAGACUCAACCGUUAGGAAGCAGGGGAAGUGGCCCGAUCUUAACGGAAAUUUCCCAGCAAGAGGACAGGCUUCCUUGUCCGGGGCCAUCCAGGCUCACACCUGACUGAGUCCCGCAGACUUGGCUGUGCCCACAGCGCCUGUCUCACUCAGUGUAAACCGAGAUGAGUUGCAUCCAUCGGCUCCCGAUUACCAAGAAUCAAGAGGCGAUGGAUGGAAACCUUGGGGGAAGCAGGGCCUGGAGGGCCAGUGUCCCCUGAGUCUGUGAGACACUCCAGGAAGGAGGGGGGCGGGCCUGGGCUGCAACCUGUCCCUCCGAAGGCCACCUGCAAGACAGGGCUGAAACUGGCUGCUGGCAGAGACCCCCCAACCCACAGAACACUGGCUCCCUGCUGAAGGAAGAACUGCUCCAAAGCAGAAAGAGCAGGGCCCAGCGGGUAAGGAGCAGGAACUGAAGAGCUUUACAAAGAACAAAAAAGGCUGGGCAGGGCAGCUCUCACCUGUAAUCCCAGCACUUUGGGAGGCCAAGGUAGGAGGAUCUCUUGAGGCCAGGCGUUUCAGACCAGCCUGCGCAACACAGUGAGACCACAUCUCUAAAAAAAAUCAAAAGAUUAGCCAGGCAUGAUGGCACGUGCCUAUAGUCCCAGCUACCUGGGAGGAUGAGGUAGGACGAUUGCUUGUGCACAGGAGGCUGAGGCUGCAGUGAGCCUUGAUCAGGCCACUGCACUCCAGCUCGGGUGACAGAGUGAGAUCGUGUCUAUAUUAAAAAAUAAAAAUAGGCCAGGUGUGGUGGCUCACACCUGUAAUCCCAGCACUUUGGGAGGCCGAGGUGGGUGAUCACCUGGGGUUAGGAAUUCGAGACCAUCCUGGCCAACGUGGUGAAACGCUGCCUCUACUAAAAAUACAAAAAUUAGCUGGGUGUUGUGGCGGGCGCCUGUAAUCCCAGCUACUAGGGAGGCUAAGGCAGGAGAAUCGCUUGAACCUGGGAGGUGGAGGUUGCAGUGAGCCAAGAUCGUGCCAUUGCACUCCAGCCUGGGUGACAAGAGCAAAACUCACUCAAAAAAAAUUAAAAUUAAAAAAGAUAAAAAUAAGGUUCAAGACCAGCCUGGCCAACAGGGUGAAACCCUAUCUCUACUAAUAAAAAUACAAAAUUAGCUGGGCGUGGUGGUGCAUGCCUGUAAUUCCAGCUUCUUGGGAAGGUGAGGCAGGACAAUUGCUUGAACCCGGCAGGUGGAGGCUGCAGUGAGCCAAGACUGCACCACCAGCCCAGGUGACAAACUGACACCGUUUCAUAAAAAUAAAUACAUAAAUAAGUAAAUAAAACAUUAAAAAAAAUAGAACAAAAGUGCAAGGAGCUGUAGGGGACUGAAGUUUGUGAACUCCGUGAGCUAGAGAUGCUGGGAGAGCAGUCAGAAGGCGAGGAAUCCUGAAAACAGGAAAUGCAUCCAGGGCCAGAGGCUUUUUCAAAUGAUGAAUCUAGAACUGCAGGUCGGGGACUCACAAGGAUCCCUGAUGGAUUCUCAAACGGAUCAUAAGUUAUGUCGGUAGGCCCAAGGGGGUGGUUGGGGCAGACUGAGCAAGCUCACGGGACAGGGCUCCCCGUCCAGCCUCCGACUGCGGCCUGGCAUCCACCGCAGUGUCCUGCUGCUUGGCAUCCACAGGUUAUUUUGGGGCACUGGGCCACACCUCACCAAGUGCACAGUGACCAGUGCUCCAAGCUGACCACGGCACUCCCGGUCCCCAUGUCCACAAGCCCCUCCUGCCGCUUUGCCCAGGUCCCAGGAUACCCCACUUAAGGGCCCCAGAGGAACAGCUGACACCCCAACCCUGCAGAUGGCAGGUGCAUCCCACACCCCUCCCCAAUCCCCCUGCGCAGCCCCGUGGCCGGGUUUAGGUUCAGGGGUACUUGCAGCCUAAGCUAGGGGUGGCAUCGCCGGCUCCAAGGCUGCCUCGGUUUCUCAGGCGAGUGCUGAACUUCCUGUUGCCUUAAAGAGGGCCAACACUGAAAACAGGGAGGGUUCCCGCUGCCCAGGUCCUCCACACCACUGCCGUCCACCAGGCCCACUGUGGGGUCUCAGGACAGGGCCCUGCACACCGGGGACCUGAUGAAUGUCUGUAGACUCUCAGAUGUCUGCUGAGGAGGCAGGGAACAAGCCUCCCAUCCCGUACCAGCCUCGAUCCCCGCACUGGCCCCGCAGCUCGGCCUGAGCACCGCACUCCACACGCUGCCCGGAUCCCCGCACUGGCCCGGCAGCCCGGCCUGAGCACGGCACUCCACACACUGAGCUGCACAGUGUAUUUUUCUCAGCAGCCACCAGAGGCACAUUCACCGGUGGCGCGUCCUGGUGGGCCUCCGGGUGCCGUCACCA
rnacentral:lncRNA from 1 species